CCUACGGGAGGCAGCAGUGAGGAAUAUUGGUCAAUGGACAAGAGUCUGAACCAGCCAAGUAGCGUGAAGGAUGACUGCCCUAUGGGUUGUAAACUUCUUUUAUAUGGGAAUAAAACAGGGUAUGCAUACCCUCUUGUAUGUACCAUAUGAAUAAGGAUCGGCUAACUCCGUGCCAGCAGCCGCGGUAAUACGGAGGAUCCGAGCGUUAUCCGGAUUUAUUGGGUUUAAAGGGAGCGUAGGUGGAUUGUUAAGUCAGUUGUGAAAGUUUGCGGCUCAACCGUAAAAUUGCAGUUGAAACUGGCAGUCGUGAGUACAGUAGAGGUGGGCGGAAUUCGUGGUGUAGCGGUGAAAUGCUUAGAUAUCACGAAGAACUCCGAUUGCGAAGGCAGCUCACUGGACUGCAACUGACACUGAUGCUCGAAAGUGUGGGUAUCAAACAGGAUUAGAUACCCCAGUAGUC
rnacentral:rRNA from 1 species